rnacentral:ncRNA from 1 species
ACCAAGGAGUCUGACAUGUGUGCGAGUCAACGGCGAGUAAACCCGUAAGGCGCAAGGAAGCUGAUUGGCGGAUCCCUCACGGGGGUGCACCGCCGACCGACCUUGAUCUUCUGAGAAGGUUCGAGUGCGAGCAUACCUGUCGGGACCCGAAAGAUGGUGAACUAUGUUCUUUACUGACGUGCAAAUCGUCCGUAUCUAAUCCCGUCUAGUAGCUGCUCCGCGAGGUCUUGGU